UACGUAGGGAGCAAGCGUUGUCCGGAUUUACUGGGUGUAAAGGGUGCGUAGGCGGCCUUGCAAGUCAGAAGUGAAAUCCAUGGGCUUAACCCGUGAACUGCUUUUGAAACUGUAGGGCUUGAGUGGAGUAGAGGCAGGCGGAAUUCCCGGUGUAGCGGUGAAAUGCGUAGAUAUCAGGAGGAACACCGGUGGCGAAGGCGGCCUGCUGGACUGCAACUGACGUUGAGGCCCGAAAGCGUGGGGAGCAAACAGG
rnacentral:rRNA from 1 species